GAGAAGGAGAUGACGGAUCUCUUCUCUGCUGAAGGAGGAGGUGAAGAGGCUUCAAGAAACUGAGGUAGAGGAAGGAGGACUCUUCCAGGAAACACACACACACACAUUAAUGAUAACAUUUCCACACACUUAAUAAAGGUUAAAAAAAAAAAAUCAUUCCAGUAAGGGCGCAUGCAUUACAUUUCUUUAUGCUGGAUAUAUGGUGCUGUCUGGUAAAAGUGUACAGUUGCAACCAGGAAUCUGUUUUGUAAAAGCUUGCCCUGUGCUGUGGGUCUUUGUGAUUCCCUUAGUAUAAGACAUACUCAGCUGUAAUGUUAUAAACCUGCCUAGCAACUCAUUACAUGUUCCUUCCGAUGGAGACUCUCCCUGUGUCUGGUGUUAGUUAGACAUUCUUGCCGGGCUGCAUACAGUUCCUGAUGCUCUUUACACACAGACGCACAGUUUAAGCAUAUAAUCAAACAAAGGCUAGUUUUUCUACAUCAUUCAUAGUUAUGGUUUAACUGCGUACAGUGAUAGAGGUGUGUACACGUGCAGACAUGAAACUUUAGCGCAUGCAAUAAAAGUGAAAGUCACAUUUUUAAA